rnacentral:rRNA from 1 species
GCGUGAGCCAUCCGGUGGAGUGAUCAGAAGUGAGAAUGUUGACAUGAGUAGCGACAAACAGGGUGAGAGACCCUGUCGCCGAAAGUCCAAGGGUUCCUGCUUAAAGCUAAUCUGAGCAGGGUAAGCCGGCCCCUAAGACGAGCCCGAAGGGGGUAGUCGAUGGGAACCACGUUAAUAUUCGUGGGCCUGGAGGUGUGUGACGGAUGGCGUAAAUUGUCAGGGCUUAUUGGAUUGCUCCUGGCAGUGAAGUUGUCCCAGGAAAUAGCCCCUCCGUAUAGACCGUACCCUAAACCGACACAGGUGGACUGGUAGAGAAUACCAAGGCGCUUGAGAGAACCACAUUUAAGGAACUCGGCAAAAUACCUCCGUAAGUUCGCGAGAAGGAGGCCCGAUUGGUGCGCAAGCAUUGGUCGGGGGCACAAACCAGGGGGUGGCGACUGUUUACUAAAAACACAGGGCUCUGCGAAGCCGUAAGGCGACGUAUAGGGUCUGACGCCUGCCCGGUGCCGGAAGGUUAAAAGGAGAUGUGCAAGCAUUGAAUUGAAGCCCCGGUAAACGGCGGCCGUAACGAUAACGGUCCUAAGGUAGCG